UAGGGGUGAAAGGCCAAACAAACUCGGCAAUAGCUGGUUCUCCUCGAAAUAGCUUUAGGGCUAGCCUCGAUAGUUUAGUUGCGGUGGUAGAGCUCUGAUUGAGCUAGGGGGUCCACAAACUUACCAAACUCAUUCAAACUGCGAAUGCCGUAACUUUAGAUAUCGGGAGUCAGACUACGGGGGCUAAGCUCCGUGGUCGAAAGGGAAACAGCCCAGAUCAACAGCUAAGGUCCCCAAGUGUAUGCUAAGUGAUAAAGGAAGUGGAAUCGCUAAAACAGCCAGGAGGUUGGCUUAGAAGCAGCAACUCCUUUAAAGAGUGCGUAAUAGCUCACUGGUCGAGUGGUUCCGCGCCAAAAAUGAUUGGGACUAAGCAUACCACCGAAGCUUUGGGUUCCAGGAAACUGGAGCGGUAGAGGAGCGUUCUAUACGGGUUGAAGGUUGACCGUGAGGACAACUGGACUGUAUAGAAGUGAGAAUGCCGGCAUGAGUAGCGAGAAAAUGCAGUGAAAAACUGCAUCGCCGUAAGCCUAAGGUUUUCUGGGCAAUGUUAAUCAACUCAGAGUUAGUCGGCCCCUAAGGCGAGGCCGAAAGGCGUAGUCGAUGGGAAGCAGGUUCAUAUUCCUGCACCACCUGGUGGAGGCUAUCGUGAUGGGGUGACGUAGGAAGAUAUGGGCGCAGGGAGUUGGUUUUCCCUGUCCUUAUGCGAAGGCUGGAGGUCCAGGUAAAUCCGGAUCUCCUUAAGGCUGAGGCUGUAGGGGAGUCUCUCUUCGGGGAGGCGAAGGUCCUGACUCUAUACUACCAAGAAAAACCUCUAAACGCGAAACCGGGUGACCGUACCGUAAACCGACACAGGUAGGCGGGGAGAGUAUCCUAAGGCGCUCGUGAGAACCUCCGUUAAGGAACUCGGCAAAUUAGCCCCGUAACUUCGGAAUAAGGGACGCCCCGUUAGUGUGAAGCCCCUGCGGGUGGAGCAUGAGGGGGCCGCAGUGAAAUGGGCCAAGCGACUGUUUACCAAAAACACAGGACUCUGCGAAAUCGUAAGAUGAUGUAUAGGGUCUGACACCUGCCCGGUGCCGGAAGGUUAAAAGGAGGGGUUAGCGUAAUUUAUUAUGCGAAGCUCUGAAUUGAAGCCCCGGUAAACGGCGGCCGUAACUAUGACGGUCCUAAGGUAGCGAAAUUCCUUGUCGGGUAAGUUCCGACCUGCACGAAUGGUGUAACGACUUGGUCACUGUCUCAACG
rnacentral:rRNA from 1 species